rnacentral:rRNA from 1 species
UGGGGAAUUUUGGACAAUGGGCGAAAGCCUGAUCCAGCAAUGCCGCGUGUGUGAAGAAGGCCUUCGGGUUGUAAAGCACUUUUGUCCGGAAAGAAAUCCUUGGCUCUAAUACAGUCGGGGGAUGACGGUACCGGAAGAAUAAGCACCGGCUAACUACGUGCCAGCAGCCGCGGUAAUACGUAGGGUGCAAGCGUUAAUCGGAAUUACUGGGCGUAAAGCGUGCGCAGGCGGUUUGCUAAGACCGAUGUGAAAUCCCCGGGCUCAACCUGGGAACUGCAUUGGUGACUGGCAGGCUAGAGUAUGGCAGAGGGGGGUAGAAUUCCACGUGUAGCAGUGAAAUGCGUAGAGAUGUGGAGGAAUACCGAUGGCGAAGGCAGCCCCCUGGGCCAAUACUGACGCUCAUGCACGAAAGCGUGGGGAGCAAACAGGAUUAGAUACCCUGGUAGUCCUCGCCCUAAACGAUGUCAACUAGUUGUUGGGGAUUCAUUUCCUUAGUAACGUAGCUAACGCGUGAAGUUGACCGCCUGGGGAGUACGGUCGCAAGAUUAAAACUUAAAUGAAUUGACGGGGUCAUAGCUGUUUCCU